UCUGAUUAUUAUGAUCUAGAAGCAGCGGUACCACCACCGUCCCACACCAUUAAUAACCACCAUGGUGGUGCUGCUGCUGAUGUACAGGUGUUCGUCUUUGGCUUGUUAGAUCUGUUCAAUGGAAUGAAUUCAUCAUAAAUCCACAAAUGCUAGCUAUAAAUGAAGCUGUCAUGGGUUAUUAGUUAUUACCUUUUUCCCUGAAUUUCCGUUUGUUUCCUGAUACUUCUGUCAGGUUGAUCUGGAAAAUGGCUGGCCGAUGUCGGACGUGAAAGUUUCUGGGCGAGCGAGCAAAAGCUCUCACCUUUCGAUCGA
rnacentral:lncRNA from 1 species